UGGUGCUACAGCCCAGGGGAAGGAAAGCGUGAGGAGGGCUGUGUGAGAGAAGCGUUCUGUUAGACUGUUUCCUGCUGAGUGUUGUGAGAGCCAGAAGGCUAGAACACUAGCAGACUUGUAAUUUUUGUACUCUUGCCAACCUAAUCUUUCAUCUACUGUUCCUGUACUGAAUUUUUGAAACCUUUUUAUCACAAGUAAACCUGUUCUAGGUUUUAAUAUAUUUUCUGGUGUCUCUGUCAGUUAUUGUAGUCCCACCUCACGACUACUUGCCAUUUUUACCACACUACUAAGUUUUGGUCUUGUUUUUCCAAUGACAGAGGAUUUAGUGACUGUAAGCCUAAGCAGUCACACAGGUUUAACAGUCUUUUUGGUGCAGCAAAUGGUUAGACUGAAGGCCAGCUGCGGCCAAACCCUCACACUGGAGAUGCCAGGGAUUGAACUUGGGACCGUCUACAUGGGAAGCAGAUGCUCUACACGGACUAUGGCCUUUCCACCGAGUCCAUCUAGGUGAUGGACAUACUUGGUUCAUAUGGAGGAAGAGAUAUCUGGUUGUAUUAAAGGGUUAGCCUCAUGUGACUGGCAUCACUGCAGUUUAUAUUUGGACGCACAGAGGAAGACCCAUCUGCAACCAUCCCUGAAUUAGUCUCCUGUUCAUUAACAGUUAGAAUCAAGGGAAAGGGAAGACUCAUCUUGGAGAGCAGAACUGCACAUCUUUGGCCUUCCAGCUGUUUUUGGGGCCCCCGGCCACAGUGGCCAACAGCUCCAACAUCUGCAGGAGGCUUG